GUAUGUAUCAUGAGUCAUGAUUCUCUUAUUUCUGGGAUUCAAACUUCUAACCAACUCAUCCCCGUCAUACAUUCAUGGAAAAUGAUUAUCAGGCAGGAACUCCCGAAUUAAACUUCACUCGCGAUAUACCAUGUAUCUAACACUGACAUAUUUAAGUGUAUUCCAUCCCUCAAAUUCUAGCAUCGGCAACAUUUACAUAUAAGUGAUCAAUUUCCUGCUUUUUAUUGGUUUUCCGCGAGGCAAAGUUGUCCCAUUUAGUCUCUUUGUACGGUACGGGGUGUCCAGUUCUUGAUUAAUUAGAAAAGUAAAAUUACUGUCAAUCACUUAAUGAAUUGCAGCCAGGGGUCCUAGUACCAGAGGCAUUGGGUCUGGGAAACUGGGUUCAGGCUCAAGAGUGGGCAGCCAUUCCAGGAGGACAAGCAACCUACUUGGGGCAACCAGUUCCAUGGGGCAACCUCCCUACCAUCCUGGCCAUUGAGUUCCUUGCCAUUGCUUUUGUAGAGCACCAGAGAAGCAUUGAGAAAGACACAGAAAAGAAGAAGUACCCUGGUGGAG
rnacentral:lncRNA from 1 species